UUUAUGUAAUCAAAUUUGCUUUUGCAGAUUUUUUUUUUUUUUUUUUUUUUUUUUAUUAGGAUGUAUAUACAUGUUCCCCGUGUUGGAAGAAAGAGCACUGAAGUCCUGGUUUUGAAGAUUCAUGGAGCUUUCGAUUCUCACUUUCCUUGUCCCCUUUGGCAAAAAUGGCAUUCAAAGUCUACUGGCUGUUGACAUCUCUGGUAAGCUUUGCACGUACAAUGGAACCAAAUUAUUUAUCAGUUGCAAGCGCUAAAUUGGUUUUAUGUGAGGCAAUUUGUUGGCCAAAAUUGCAGAAGAAAGGAGAGCAUGUAAACUUCAUGGUUCAUGAUUGAAUUUUAAAAAAAAAAACACGCACACACACAGUUUUAUCCUUGUAAGUUUGUACAAACUAAAAGAUGAGUUUUUUAUUUUUACAAUUUCACUUUUAAAAA